GACGAACGCUGGCGGCGUGCUUAACACAUGCAAGUCGAACGGAAAGGCCCUGCUUUUGUGGGGUGCUCGAGUGGCGAACGGGUGAGUAACACGUGAGUAACCUGCCCUUGACUUUGUGAUAACUUCAGGAAACUGGGGCUAAUACCGGAUAGGAGCUCCUGCUGCAUGGUGGGGGUUGGAAAGUUUCGGCGGUUGGGGAUGGACUCGCGGCUUAUCAGCUUGUUUGUGGGGUAGUGGCUUACCAAGGCUUUGACGGGUAGCCGGCCUGAGAGGGUGACCGGCGACAUUGGUACUGAGAGACGGCCCAGACGGCUACGGGAGGCAGCAGGGGGGAAUAUUGCAGAAUGGGCGGAAGCCUGAUGCAGCAACGCCGCGUGCGGGAUGACGUCCUUCGGGUGGUAAACCGCUUUCGCCUGUGACGAAGCGUGAGUGACGGUAAUGGGUAAAGAAGCACCGGCUAACUACGUG
rnacentral:rRNA from 1 species